rnacentral:rRNA from 1 species
GACGAACGCUGGCGGCGUGCUUAACACAUGCAAGUCGAACGAUGAACCCGGAGCUUGCUCUGGGGGAUUAGUGGCGAACGGGUGAGUAACACGUGAGUAACCUGCCCUGGACUCUGGGAUAAGCGUUGGAAACGACGUCUAAUACCGGAUAGGACCUUGGAUCGCAUGAUCUGGGGUGGAAAGUUUUUUCGGUCUGGGAUGGACUCGCGGCCUAUCAGCUUGUUGGUGAGGUAAUGGCUCACCAAGGCGUCGACGGGUAGCCGGCCUGAGAGGGUGACCGGCCACACUGGGACUGAGACACGGCCCAGACUCCUACGGGAGGCAGCAGUAGGGAAUAUUGAACAAUGGGCGAAAGCCUGAUGCAGCAACGCCGCGUGCGGGAUGACGGCCUUCGGGUUGUAAACCGCUUUUAGUAGGGAAGAAGGGCUUCGGCUUGACGGUACCUGCAGAAAAAGGACCGGCUAACUACGUG